rnacentral:lncRNA from 1 species
CUCUCCUUCCUGUGCCCAGGAUGCAAACAGUCACCAGAAGCCCGGCUGGGUCAUGCGGGCAGCCUUUCGCUUCCUUGGAUUUUGCACGCAGCUUCACCAGACAGCAGACUGUGACCCUUUUCAUCAGACCAUGCUAGAAGGAAAGAAAGACUCUGAGCAGAAGGGGUGAGAUGAAGCAGUUCUGGCCGAAUCUUGAUAAUGAUUGGACCUGGGCAAUGAUUUCAUAAGAGCUUAUUGUGCUCAUCUCCCUACUACUAUGUAUGCUUGAAUAUUUGAAUAAUGAAAAUAAAACUUCUUUUUUUUUUUUCGA